GAUGUGAUGGCCGAGUGGUUAAGGCGUUGGACUCGAAAUCCAAUGGGGUUUUCCCGCGCAGGUUCGAUACCUGCUUGCAGCG
rnacentral:tRNA from 1 species